AGAGUUUGAUUCUGGCUCAGAACGAACGCUGGCAGCGUGGAUUAGGCAUGCAAGUCGAACGGGAAGCCGUUGAUCAAUCUUCGGAGAGUGAUUCGGUGGAGAGUGGCGAAAGGGUGAGUAACGCGUGUAUAAGCUGCCCUCAAGUUGGGGACAACGUCGGGAAACUGGCGCUAAUACCGGAUGUGGUCUUGUGGCGCAUGUCACGAUGACUAAAGGUGGGGAUCCUUCGGGACCUGCCGCUUGAGGAGGCAUACGCGUGCCAUUAGCUUGUUGGUGAGGUAACGGCUCACCAAGGCUUAUGGCUAGCUGGUCUGAGAGGAUGAUCAGCCACACUGGGACUGAGACACUGCCCAGACUCCUACGGGAGGCUGCAGUCGAGGAUCAUUCGCAAUGCGCGAAAGCGUGACGAUGCGACGCUCGUGGAGGAUGACGGCCUUCGGGUUGUAAACUCCUGUCAUUCGGGAAAAAUGGCCUUGUGUUGAUAACGCACGGGGUAUGAUGGUACCGGAAGAGGAAGCCACGGCUAACUCUGUGCCAGCAGCCGCGGUAAUACAGAGGUGGCGAGCGUUGUUCGGAUUUACUGGGCGUAAAGCGUGUGUAGGCGGUUUCGUAUGUCGGAUGUGAAAGCCCAUGGCUCAACUAUGGAAUUGCAUCCGAAACUGCGGGACUAGAGUACAGUAGGGGAGAGCGGAAUUCUAGGUGUAGCGGUGAAAUGCGUUGAUAUCUAGAAGAACACCGGUGGCGAAGGCGGCUCUCUGGAAUGUUACUGACGCUGAGACACGAAAGUCGGGGGAGCAAACAGGAUUAGAUACCCUGGUAGUCCCGACCGUAAACGGUGUGCACUUGGUGUGGGGGGUAUUGACCCCCCCCGUGCCGGAGCUAACGCGUUAAGUGCACCGCCUGGGGAGUACGGCCGCAAGGCUAAAACUCAAAGAAAUUGACGGGGGCCCGCACGAGCGGAGGAGCAUGUGGCUUAAUUCGAUGCAACGCGAAGAACCUUACCUGGACUUGACAUGGUACUGCACGUCCUGUGAAAGCAGGAUUCCUUCGAGGGUGUAUCACAGGUGCUGCAUGGCUGUCGUCAGUUCGUGCCGUGAGGUGUUUGGUUAAGUCCAGCAACGAACGCAACCCUUGUGGUUAGUUGCCACCGCAGGUGAUGAGCCUGCGAGCACUCUAGCCAGACUGCCCGUACGAGCGACAGGCAAGUGGACUCCUGAAAGAAAUCCUCAGAUCUUCAUCUUUGCCCCCCUAGAUC
rnacentral:rRNA from 1 species